UCCCACCUUUUUUAUGGGAGAUUUUCGAACUUUACGCAUUCAUACACAAUAAAACCCGUAUAUAGGUGUCGAUAUGGAAAUGAAAUGGGAUAAAGUACCAUAUCAAAUUCGCGAGCACGCGCUGCUAUAAAUAAACACUAUCGCAAGAUUGAAACUUCCCAUACCAAUUAUUAGAAUAAUGACAUCUGCGAACUCUGUUCUCUUUGAGGAUAGCUUCUACGUCUUACUAUAAAAAACCAGGGGGCUGCCUUAGACCCUAAGAGCUACUAUAUAAAACUAGGGGUAGUUCCUUGGGGAUAGGAUUAGGGGUUAGCUCCCCCACCCUACGAAAUAGCUCACAUCGGUAUCUACAGCUCCUGACGUUGAUGCUAUAAUUAAAUACUAUCGAAUUAUUGCGAGAUUGCAGCAUCCUCUCCCAUAACCGCGGUUAUUUUUUUCUCUAACUGAUAACACAUUUACAUUCGUGCUUAUUUAGCUGCAAAUGUCGAAUCAAGAAAUGUGCAAUCAUUUUUGCGAGGAGUCGAGGUAAACCUGCAUGUAUAUUACUAUACGUUUUAACCGUAUAUUUGUAGAACAAGAAACUACUAUUAUUUUCGGCGGGAUAAACCCAGCGAGGUAUAAAACCCCCCAUGUAUUACGUUUUAAUUAUAUACCUAUGUGUAGAACGGAGCGGGGAUUUCCAAUUAUGAAUAACAAUGUCGGCAUCCAAAAAAAUAGGGGCGUUGCCGUCGUCGGUCCUCUUCGACGCAAAUUUUAUGUAAGUAGAGUAAGCGCUUUAAUUGUAAUAAUAAACUUCAAAUCGAUAUUUCAGAUCUAAAUAAAAACGCCCUACAUUUUG